rnacentral:lncRNA from 1 species
CUCCUCCAGCCGCCGUUGAAGGCGUCUGAGCCGCUGUCAGAGCCGGGGGACCCGGGCGGCCGCCGCUCCUCCCUGCUCUCCCCAAGCGCCCCCGCGCGCAGACACUCGGGCCUUCCUGGGCGCCCCCCCACGGUGGGGGUGGGGCAGAGGCGCGGCGAGCCCCAAAGAGGGAGAGAGGAGCAGCCUCCAGGGGUGGGCACCGAGGGAACAGGAAAAGAAACUUUUCCCUCCCGCCCCCCGCGCGUGGUCCUCACCCCGCGCCUCCCCCCGCGGGUGGGAACCGCACCUGAGGCCGGGAGCGAGGUCAGGGGACUUUGGGGGCCCGUGGGGAGGGGUGGGGGGUUACGUGCACUGGGGUUCUGUAUUCCCUCGGCCUCCUCCCUGCCAGUGACCAGGGUGGGAGGGCGGCCGCUGGCGCCCCCAGCCCCGAUUCCCACUAGCCGGUGGCUGGACGCUUUGCUGCCUCCUCCUGCUGGUGAGGGUGUGACCCGGGGAGGGGGCCGCGGCGCCGCGGGCUCCCCCUGCGGCCACCCCCCGUCUCUCUCUCUCUCUCUCUCUCUCUCUCUCUCUCUCUCUCUCACACACACACACACACACACACACACACACACGCUCCGCCGCCCGAGCUGUCACCGGCCACCCCAGGCUCGGGGAGGGGGCUCGGAGAGCCGCGCUGCGGGGCGGCCGGCGCGGGAUCAUCCUGUCGGACUUCCCGGCUCCCAGGGCCGCUGCCGCCAACGCCCGGGAGACAGUAGCUUAGGGAGAGGGGCCCGCUGGAGGCCCGGCCACUGCUGCUGGGGGCAGGCGGGCGCCCGCGUCCCCCUCUGCGCGAUUUGGCGGCGCCACCGCCUCGCCUCCUCCUGCGGGGUAACAACACUACUGCUCUAUUGCUCUACCCACCGUCAGCAGGGCGACUGCCGGGAUUCUUACCCUCUCCAUCCUUACCGCCGAACGGCUAAUAUCGGACUUGCUGGUGGCGGCAGCGGCGGCGGUGGCAAGAGUCUCGCUGCCCCCACCCACCCCCCGCCCCGCGCCCCAGCCUCCCCACCAUGUCCUAGAAAAGCCCGUGCUCCGCCUGGGUGCGAUCGCUGCCCGACUGCUCGCCUGGCCCGGAGAGUGCGCGUGACGGCGGGCCCCGCGGGAAAGUUGGGACACUUGGCGGGGACUCCCGGCUGCGGGGGCGCCGGGGGCCGCUCCGCGCAGGGGACUGCUGAGCAUCGGAAUCGGGGGUCGGGACCAGCUCUCCCGCGCCGCCGCUGUCGCCCCCGCCGCCAGGGAGUUCCCUACCUGGAGCGGCAGAGUUCGAGUCUUCCUGCGUUCGGGGUCUGGAAUCCUGAAGCUUAA